rnacentral:tRNA from 1 species
GCCCAGGUGGCGAAAUCGGUAGACGCAGGGGACUCAAAAUCCCCCGCCGCAAGGCGUGCCGGUUCGAGUCCGGCCCUGGGCACCA